AAUGCCUAGGAAUCUGCCUGGUAGUGGGGGAUAACGUUCGGAAACGGACGCUAAUACCGCAUACGUCCUACGGGAGAAAGCAGGGGACCUUCGGGCCUUGCGCUAUCAGAUGAGCCUAGGUCGGAUUAGCUAGUUGGUGAGGUAAUGGCUCACCAAGGCGACGAUCCGUAACUGGUCUGAGAGGAUGAUCAGUCACACUGGAACUGAGACACGGUCCAGACUCCUACGGGAGGCAGCAGUGGGGAAUAUUGGACAAUGGGCGAAAGCCUGAUCCAGCCAUGCCGCGUGUGUGAAGAAGGUCUUCGGAUUGUAAAGCACUUUAAGUUGGGAGGAAGGGUUGUAGAUUAAUACUCUGCAAUUUUGACGUUACCGACAGAAUAAGCACCGGCUAACUCUGUGCCAGCAGCCGCGGUAAUACAGAGGGUGCAAGCGUUAAUCGGAAUUACUGGGCGUAAAGCGCGCGUAGGUGGUUUGUUAAGUUGGAUGUGAAAUCCCCGGGCUCAACCUGGGAACUGCAUUCAAAACUGACUGACUAGAGUAUGGUAGAGGGUGGUGGAAUUUUCUGUGUAGCGGUGAAAUGCGUAGAUAUAGGAAGG
rnacentral:rRNA from 1 species